GGAAGUAAAGUCGUAACAAGGUUUCCGUAGGUGAACCUGCGGAAGGAUCAUUCAUAAUAAGUGUUUUAUGGCACUUUUUUAAAUCCAUAUCCACCUUGUGUGCAAUGUCAGGGUUGAUUUUUCUCUCGAGAGGAUCAACCCCAAACAUCAACUAUAUCUCAACUCUUUGUCUGAAAAAUAUUAUGAAUAAAACAAUUCAAAAUACAACUUUCAACAACGGAUCUCCUGGCUCUC
rnacentral:misc_RNA from 1 species